GGAAAUCAUCAAAGAAAUAACAAAAGGAAACAGCCCUGAACUGAAGAAAAAUAAAAAUAAACCCACGCCUUGACACCGAUCUUUUAAUUUUAUCUCAAAAAUCAUUUCCUGUCAGAAUAUAAACAUGUACUUCACUAUUCUUGAUGGUUGCAUAGAAGUCUAUACCGUGUGCAGGUACGCACACACACAAGUACAUCCUUAUUUAUUCAAACACUUUUCUGUUGACAAACACUGAUUUUUUUCUUUUUUUUUUUUUCAGACAUAUUCAUUUAUUUGAAAGGAACAGAGAGAGAGAGAGAGAGAGAGAGAGACAGAGACAGAGAGACAGGGAAAGACAGCGAUUCUCCAUUUGUUGGUUUACUCCUCAAAUGGCCCACAAUGGCCAGGGCUACUCCAGAAUGAAGCCAGAAGCCCAGAACUCCACCUGGCUCUCCCAUGUUCUGGCAGGGACAUAGAAAUGUUCUUGGCCUAUCUUCCACUGCUUUCCUAGGCACACAGGCAGGUAGCUGGAUUGGAAUAAGGGCAGCCUGGACUUGAACCAGUAGAGAUAAGAGAUGCCAGCGUCACAGGCAGCUUAGCUCACUGCGCCACUGGCCCCCACUCAUACAAUUUGUAAUAGUCACUGUUAACAUUAAUGGUCCAAUGAACAUUGGACAUACAUCCUUGCGGACAUAGGUGAAUGUUUCUGCAGAAUCAUUUCUAGGAAUGUUAAUGGUGAAAUAUUUAAAUUAUUCACAGCUGAUGCUAAAAUGCCCUCUGGAAAUCUGUAACAAUGAUAUUUGUGAAAUUGCUGAUUUACCACACUGUCCACUCUGCCUGUCAAAACAAAAAUUAAAAAGGAAAUAUAACCACUACUCUCAAAAUUUACUGUUACUUUCCUUAAUGUCACUACAUCAUAGGAUAGAUGCACAAUAGUAAUGUAUGAAUCUAGUAUUCCUUAAAAUGAAUAGGCAGUGUUAGCUGACUAUUAACCAACAUUAGCUUCCAGUGUUAACUUAGCCAGAAAAGAGAAAAUUGUUAUGUAAGUCACUUGAAAAUGCUGUAAGUAUCAUUACAAAGCUAGGAAUUUGGAUUCAGUCUAUUGCAAUUUCAGUCUGUUACAUUGAUUUUUUUAUGCCCAAAUUGUUCCAUUUUUAGCCAGUAGGAGACCUUCAAAUUGGCCUCUGGAUGCCUUUGACGUGACUCCUUUCAUGAUUGAGAGCUUCCUUCUUUCCCAGGACCAUCUUGUACUUUGCUUGCUUCUGGUGUGGAAUCAGGAACCCCUGAUCCCUUCAGGCAUGAAGGUCACUCAUUGCUACCAGAUCCUCCAUCAAACAUAUCUAGGAAAUAUGCAAAGAAAUAAUCAAUUGAUAUUUCCUAUAUAAAGUUAAUAUUAUAGCAUUUUCCUGUUAUUUCUUUGAUUUUAUCUUUUUCUUCUCUUGUCCUCCCAACUCUUUCUGCCUCCCUGGAUGUUGUUGUAAAGGCUCAAGACCUAAAUCUGCAGUGGGUUUUGCUCCAUCCCCCGACUCCCUCCUUCCCCCUCUCUCAUCUGAGUACCUCCCAGCUCUGAAACGUGGUGAAGAAUCUGACAGCUCCCCCAGGAGAAUUAACGUAGUGGGGAUACAACAGACUUGAGGGGAUGUGGUGAAAAUCUUCCUAUUCUAGACAGCCCAAGGUCACAUGAGCCAUUGAAUCCCAUAACAACAACCAUUGCCACACAAGCAGCACUCACCAGCCUUGCCAGGAAUCACUCCUGGCAGAAACCCCCCACCCCCCACCCAGGGAAAUCACCAGCAAGAAUAAUUAAAUGAGCAUCGUAGAUAAAA
ensembl:lncRNA